rnacentral:rRNA from 1 species
GAUGAACGCUGACAGAAUGCUUAACACAUGCAAGUCAACUUGAAUUUGGGUUUUUAACUUAGAUUUGGGUGGCGGACGGGUGAGUAACGCGUAAAGAACUUACCUCACAGCUAGGGACAACAUUUAGAAAUGAAUGCUAAUACCUGAUAUUAUGAUUUUAAGGCAUCUUAGAAUUAUGAAAGCUAUAUGCACUGUGAGAGAGCUUUGCGUCCCAUUAGCUAGUUGGAGAGGUAACAGCUCACCAAGGCGAUGAUGGGUAGCCGGCCUGAGAGGGUGAACGGCCACAAGGGGACUGAGACACGGCCCUUACUCCUACGGGAGGCAGCAGUGGGGAAUAUUGGACAAUGGACCGAGAGUCUGAUCCAGCAAUUCUGUGUGCACGAUGAAGUUUUUCGGAAUGUAAAGUGCUUUCAGUUGGGAAGAAAAAAAUGACGGUACCAACAGAAGAAGUGACGGCUAAAUACGUGCCAGCAGCCGCGGUAAUACGUAUGUCACGAGCGUUAUCCGGAUUUAUUGGGCGUAAAGCGCGUCUAGGUGGUUAUGUAAGUCUGAUGUGAAAAUGCAGGGCUCAACUCUGUAUUGCGUUGGAAACUGUAUAACUAGAGUACUGGAGAGGUAAGCGGAACUACAAGUGUAGAGGUGAAAUUCGUAGAUAUUUGUAGGAAUGCCGAUGGGGAAGCCAGCUUA